rnacentral:rRNA from 1 species
CGAGCUCAGCACCGAACUGCCGGCCAUGCGGGUCGCGCGGAAUGUGGUGUUUGGGAGAGCCUCCUCACAGCGCGACGACCAGUCCAAGUCCACCUUGACUGGGGCCACGGCUCAUAGAGGGUGAUAGGCCCGUAAGACGGUUGCCGCGCGGUGCUGGCUGUUCCCCAGAGUCGAGUUGCUUGGGAGUGCAGCUCAAAGUGCGUGGUAAACUCCACGUAAGGCUAAAUAUGACCCCGAGACCGAUAGCAAACAAGUACCGUGAGGGAAAGUUGAAAAGAACCCUGAAGAGAGAGUUCAAAAGUACGUGAAACUGUGUAGUGGUAAACGGAGGGGUUCUCGAAGUUGGGGCCCGAGGUUCAGGCUAAGGUGUGCGCUGCUCUGCGCGCCCUCACACCGAGAUCCGCAAGGACUCGGGGCGCGUGAGUCGAGUGUGCACCGUGGCUGCAUUUCUCGGGCCCUGGACGCAACGAACCGCUAGUGUUGGACCGUGGACGCGUCGGUGAAGUUGCGCGCGUCGCUCGCGCGAUGCGCGUAGCCCGGCUGUCUUGGCUCCGGCGCUGGCGGGUACACGUUUUGUAAGCAGGCUCGUAUAGCGAGUGCCCCUGGCUGGCACGGCUUGCAUCUCAGUUGCGAGUAGGUCGGUGGCCCCUCCGACCCGUCUUGAAACACGGACCAAGGAGUCUAACACGUGUGCGAGUCAUUGGGUUGACUAAACCUAAAGGCGUAGUGAAAGCAAAGGGUACUCGCGUACCUGAGGGGUGAUCGGCGAUCCUCGCGGAUUGCUGCGCAACCCUGGCGCUUCGCGUCGACCUCGCUUCGUGCGGAGCAGUAA